rnacentral:rRNA from 1 species
GCAGGCAGAUCCAAUUUUCUGCCCCGAAUACAUUAGCAUGGGAUAAUGGAAUAGGACCCUGUCCUCCUAUUUUCAGUUGGUUUUGGCAGCGCGAGGACUAGGGUAAUGAUUAAUAGGGAUAGUUGGGGGCAUUAAUAUUUAAUUGUCAGAGGUGAAAUUCUUGGAUUUAUGAAAGAUUAACUUCUGCGAAAGCAUCUGCCAAGGAUGUUUUCAUUAAUCAAGAACGAAAGUUAGGGGAUCGAAGACGAUCAGAUACCGUCGUAGUCUUAACCAUAAACGAUGCCGACCAGCGAUUAGGAGACGUUGAAUACAAAACACCACCAUCGGCGCGGUCGUCCUUGGCGUCUCGGUUUCGGCCGGGGCGCGGGGACGGCUUAGCCCGGUGGCACCGGUGAAUGACUCCCC